rnacentral:rRNA from 1 species
AUUGAACGCUGGCGGCAGGCCUAACACAUGCAAGUCGAGCGGAUGAGUGGAGCUUGCUCCAUGAUUCAGCGGCGGACGGGUGAGUAAUGCCUAGGAAUCUGCCUGGUAGUGGGGGACAACGUUUCGAAAGGAACGCUAAUACCGCAUACGUCCUACGGGAGAAAGUGGGGGAUCUUCGGACCUCACGCUAUCAGAUGAGCCUAGGUCGGAUUAGCUAGUUGGUGAGGUAAAGGCUCACCAAGGCGACGAUCCGUAACUGGUCUGAGAGGAUGAUCAGUCACAAUGGAACUGAGACACGGUCCAGACUCCCACGGGAGGCAGCAGUGGGGAAUAUGGGACAAUGGGCGAAAGCCUGAUCCAGCCAUGCCGCGUGUGUGAAGAAGGUCUUCGGAUUGUAAAGCACUUUAAGUUGGGAGGAAGGGCAGUAAGUUAAUACCUUGCUGUUUUGACGUUACCAACAGAAUAAGCACCGGCUAACUUCGUGCCAGCCGCCGCCGUAACAC